GUAGAAAGGUCAAAUAUUGCAGCAAGAAGCCACCACCUGCUUAGUGACUCACCUUGAUGGCUUGAUGUGGCUUCAGCCCAUAAAUUCCUUAAUCCUUAAGCAAUAAGCACGACCUUAACUAUUUAAAGACCACUUAUCUACCUCCUAGAUAAUAUGUUAACUCCAUUAUCUCGUAUCUAAGUGAUUCCAAGUGAAAAAGAGAGUGAAAGAACCAAAGAGAAAUAGAAACAGCAAGCUCGAAUUUCUGGACAGCCAAGUUACUUCACAGUUUUGAGGUGAUUUUCCGACUUCGAGUGAAAAAGGAUAUUGAUCUAAUCUCCAUAGAAGCUUGCACACACAAAGGUGAAAGGUGAGCAUGGAACUACAUAGAGAGCAUGGCUAGCUAUGGAGCUCUUACAGGAUUCCAAAGUUUGAUGUACAUGGAUGACGACCUGUAGGG